rnacentral:rRNA from 1 species
GACGAACGCUGGCGGCGUGCUUAACACAUGCAAGUCGAACGGAAAGGCCCUGCUUUUGUGGGGUGCUCGAGUGGCGAACGGGUGAGUAACACGUGAGUAACCUGCCCUUGACUUUGGGAUAACUUCAGGAAACUGGGGCUAAUACCGGAUAGGAGCUCCUGCUGCAUGGUGGGGGUUGGAAAGUUUCGGCGGUUGGGGAUGGACUCGCGGCUUAUCAGCUUGUUGGUGGGGUAGUGGCUUACCAAGGCUUUGACGGGUAGCCGGCCUGAGAGGGUUACCGGCCACAAGGGGACUGAGAUACGGCCCAGAAUCCUACGGGAGGCAGCAGUGGGGAAUAUUGCACAAUGGGCGGAAGCCUGAUGCAGCAACGCCGCGUGCGGGAUGACGGCCUUCGGGUUGUAAACCGCUUUCGCCUGUGACGAAGAGUGAGUGACGGUAAUGGGUAAAGAAGCACCGGCUAACUACGUG